rnacentral:rRNA from 1 species
GUAGUUAGCCGAGACUUAUUCCUGAGGUACCGUCCUCUCUCUUCCCUCAGAAAAGGGCUUUACGACCCGAAGGCCUUCUUCGCCCACGCGGCGUUGCUGCGUCAGACUUUCGUCCAUUGCGCAAUAUUCCUCA